rnacentral:rRNA from 1 species
UACGUAGGGUGCGAGCGUUAAUCGGAAUUACUGGGUGUAAAGUGUGCGCAGGCGGCCGAGCAAGUCGAGUGUGAAAGCCCCGGGCUUAACCUGGGAACUGCGCUCGAAACUACUUGGCUUGAGUGUGGCAGAGGGAGGUGGAAUUCCACGUGUAGCGGUGAAAUGCGUAGAGAUGUGGAGGAACACCGAUGGCGAAGGCAGCCUCCUGGGCCAACACUGACGCUCAUGCACGAAAGCGUGGGGAGCAAACAGG